GCAGUCGUGGCCGACUGUUUAAGGCGAUGGACUAGAAAUCCAUUGGGGUCUCCCCGCACAGGUUCGAAUCCUGUCGACUGCG
rnacentral:tRNA from 2 species